CACGUAGGCACCAAGCGUUGUUCGGAUUUACUGGGCGUAAAGCGCACGUAGGCGGAUUGUUAAGUCGGGGGUGAAAUCCUGGAGCUCAACUCCAGAAUUGCCUUCGAUACUGGCUUUCUAGAGGCUGGAAGAGGUUAGUGGAAUUCCCAGUGUAGAGGUGAAAUUCGUAGAUAUUGGGAAGAACACCAGUGGCGAAGGCGGCUAACUGGUCCAGAUCUGACGCUGAGGUGCGAAAGCGUGGGGAGCAAACAGG
rnacentral:rRNA from 1 species